AUUGAACGCUGGCGGCAGGCCUAACACAUGCAAGUCGAGCGAGCGGCGGACGGGUGAGUAAUGUCUGGGAAACUGCCUGAUGGAGGGGUUUAACUACUGGCAACGGUAGCUAAUACCGCAUACCAUCAGAUGUGCCCAGAUGGGAUUAGCUAGUAGGUGGGGUAACGGCUCACCUAGGCGACGAUCCCUAGCUGGUCUGAGAGGAUGACCAGCGAAACUGGAACAGAGACACGGUCCAUACCCCAACGGGGGGGAGCAGUGGGGAAUAUUGGACAAUGGGCGAAAUCCUGAUGCAUCCAUGCCGCGGGAGUGAAGAAGGCCUUCGGGUUGUAAAGCACUUUCAGCGGGGAGGCGUUACCCGCAGAAGAAGCACCGGCUAACUCCGUGCCAGCAGCCGCGGUAAUUC
rnacentral:rRNA from 1 species